CGGAUGAACGCUGGCGGCGUGCCUAACACAUGCAAGUCGAGCGUGAACCCUUAGAAUGAAACUUCGGUCGAAUGAAGAGGGGGAAAGCGGCGGACGGGUGAGUAACGCGUAGGCAACCUGCCCCGUACAGAGGGAUAGCCUCGGGAAACCGGGAUUAAAACCUCAUAAUACCAUGGUAUCACAUGAUGCAAUGGUCAAAGAUUUAUCGGUAUGGGAUGGGCCUGCGUCUGAUUAGCUGGUUGGUGGGGUAACGGCCUACCAAGGCAACGAUCAGUAGCCGACCUGAGAGGGUAAUCGGCCACAUUGGAACUGAGACACGGUCCAAACUCCUACGGGAGGCAGCAGUGGGGAAUAUUGCACAAUGGGCGAAAGCCUGAUGCAGCAACGCCGCGUGAGCGAAGAAGGCCUUUGGGUCGUAAAGCUCUGUCGGGAAGGAAGAUAAUGACGGUACUUCCCGAGGAAGCCCCGGCUAACUACGUG
rnacentral:rRNA from 1 species